rnacentral:rRNA from 1 species
GAUGAACGCUGGCGGCGUGCCUAAUACAUGCAAGUCGAACGAACAGACGCGUCUCUUGCUCCUCUCUCGUUAGCCGCGUACGUGUUAGUACCACGUGUAUCCCCUCCCUAUAUGUCUGGUAUCACUUCGUUAACCCGGCGCUAAUACCGUAUAAUAUAUUGCACCGCAUGGUUCAAUAGUGAAAGACGGUUUUGCUGUCACUUAUCGAUGGAUCCGCGCCGGAUUAGCUAGUUGGUACGGUAACGGCUUACCAAGGCAACGAUGCGUAGCCGACCUGAGAGGGUGAUAGGCCACACUGGAACUGAGACACGGUCCAGACUCCUACGGGAGGCAGCAGUAGGGAAUCUUCCGCAAUGGGCGAAAGCUUGACGGAGCAACGCCGCGUGAGUGAUGAAGGUCUUCGGAUCGUAAAACUCUGUUAUUAGGGAAGAAAAAAUGUGUAAGUAACUAUGCACGUCUUGACGGUACAGUAUCAGAAAGCAACGGCUAACUACGUG